rnacentral:rRNA from 1 species
GACGAACGCUGGCGGCGUGCUUAACACAUGCAAGUCGAACGGAAAGGCCCUGCUUUUGUGGGGUGCUCGAGUGGCGAACGGGUGAGUAACACGUGAGUAACCUGCCCUUGACUUUGGGAUAACUUCAGGAAACUGGGGCUAAUACCGGAUAGGAGCUCCUGCUGCAUGGUGGGGGUUGGAAAGUUUCGGCGGUUGGGGAUGGACUCGCGGCUUAUCAGCUUGUAGGUGGGGUAGUGGCUUACCAAGGCUUUGACGGGCAGCCGGCCUGAGAGGGUGACCGGCCACAUUGGGACUGAGAUACGGCCCAGACUCCUACGGGAGGCAGCAGUGGGGAAUAUUGCACAAUGGGCGGAAGCCUGAUGCAGCAACGCCGCGUGCGGGAUGACGGCCUUCGGGUUGUAAACCGCUUUCGCCUGUGACGAAGCGUGAGUGACGGUAAUGGGUAAAGAAGCACCGGCUAACUACGUG